CCGAGCGGCCCGUGGGCCGGCGUCAGGCUCCCGCGCCCCAGCGGUCUGCUCCGCAGCCGCUAUGUACCCAGCGAGUCCUCCCGCAGGCUCGGCCCCGCACUUGGCCCCACACUGCGACCUCUGCCCCCCGCCCGGGCGCCUUGCGGAGCCGCCGCGGGCCCCCUUGCCCGCCCCGGACCCCGUCGCGCGCCCGCCGCACGCCGCGCCCGGGCCGCGGCCCCGCGUGGCAGUGAAGAUGGCCUUCCGCAAGGCCUACUCCAUCAAGGACAAGCUGCAAGCCAUCGAGCGCGUCAAGGGCGGCGAGCGGCAGGCCAGUGUGUGCCGAGACUUCGGCGUGCCCGGCGGCACGCUGCGCGGCUGGCUAAAGGACGAGCCCAAGCUGCGCUGGUUCCUGGACCAGCUGGGCGGCGAGGUGGGCACGCAGCGCAAGAAGAUGAGGCUGGCCAACGAGGAGGAGAUCGAUCGCGCGGUCUACUCUUGGUUCCUCACGCUGCGCCAGCACGGCGUGCCACUGUCGGGGCCGGUCAUCCAGGCACAGGCUGAGGCCUUCGCGCGCCAGAUCUACGGCCCCGAGUGCACCUUCAAGGCUAGUCACGGCUGGUUCUGGCGAUGGCAGAAGCGCCAUGGCAUCUCCAGCCAGCGCAUCUACGGCGAGGCCGAGCCCCCGCCUGCUGGAUCCGCGCCUGGCCCACCAGUCAAGGAGGAGCCGGCGCAGCCUCCAAGCGGCGGCCCGCUGCCCAACCGGGCACUGGCCGCGCCGCCCCCAGCCGAAGGCGGCUAUGGUGACGAGCAGAUCUACAAUGCCAACGUCACUGGCCUUUACUGGAGGCUGCUUCCGGAGCAGGCUGCACCCCCGGGCACAGAGGACCCCAGGGCGAGGGUCUGCGGCUGGCGCGCCGACCGGGUGACAGUGCUGCUGGCCGCCAACUUGACAGGCAGCCACAAGUUGAAGCCACUGGUCAUCGGGCAGCUGCCGGACCCGCCCAGCCUGCGCCACCACAACCAGGACAAGUUCCCGGCCUCCUACCGCUACAGCCCCAAUGCUUGGCUCAGCCGCCCGCUGCUACGCGGCUGGUUCUUUGAGGAAUUCGUUCCGGGCGUCAAGCGCUACCUGCGUCGAAGCUGUCUGCAGCAGAAGGCGGUGUUGCUGGUGGCCCACCCGCCCUGGCCAAGCUGGGCCACCAGGAUGCCCGCCCUGGAAGAAAGCGAGGAGACCCCCAGGCGGUUUGGGCCUGAGCCCUUGGGGCCCCCUGAAGAGCUGCAGACACCAGACGGCGCUGUGCGGGUUCUUUUCCUGUCCAAGGGCAGCAGCAGGGCACACAUUCCUGCACCGCUGGAGCAGGGUGUGGUGGCUGCCUUCAAGCAUCUGUAUAAGCGGGAGCUGCUGCGGCUGGCAGUGUCCUGUGCUAGCGGCUCCCCACUGGACUUUAUGCGCAGUUUCAUGCUUAAGGACAUGCUGUACCUGACUGGCCUCUCCUGGGACCUGGUGCAGGCAGGCAGCAUUGAGCGCUGCUGGCUGCUGGGCCUGAGGGCUGCCUUCGAGCCUGGACAGCAGUCAGCCCACCAAGCUGAGGAGGCUGCGGAGCACAGCAGGGCGCUUAGUGACCUCACACAUUUGGCUGCUCUGGCCUACAAGCGCCUGGCACCCGAAGAGGUGGCUGAGUGGCUGCACCUGGACGAUGAUGGGGGCCUCCCUGAGGUCUGCAGAGAGGAAGUGAGCCCUGUCUGGCCCCCUGCAUUGGCCCCUCUAUCCCCAGCCAGCCUGCCCUCUAGCAUGGGGGGUGGAGAAGAGGAGGAGGAGGAGGAGGUCACUGAGCGUGGUGGGGUGUUGGUACCCACUGCAGGGGAGGCUGUGUGGGGGCUGGAGACAGCUCUGCGGUGGCUGGAGAGCCAGGACCCCAAUGAGGUGGGGCCACUGAGGCUGGUACAGCUGCGCUCACUCAUCAGCAUGGCUCGGAGGUUGGGGGGCAUUGAACCUUCCCCAGCAGUUUCAGAUGACAGUGUGUGACCACACUGACCCAAUGGCCUUUUUCCUGUACUCUGAAGGAGAGGCAUGCACAGUCUCACAUCUCCCUCCCUCUCUUCUCCCUGAGGUGGCCCACCACAUGGGCCCAGGGGUUAUUGGGUCCAAGCCCAGUCCAGCUUGGAGGGGGUCCUUUGAUGAAGUGAUGUCCUGCCCCAUGGUCCACAGUCUUCUGGGGGGAUACCAAAAGAGAGGCCUCAGCUCACACUCUUCCCUGAGCAGUCAUAUAUGUGGGGUUCCCCCUAAACAUGCUGGGCACCCAGUCACAGCAUCUGAGAGCAGUUGACUGUGCUCUUGCUCUGGCCCCUGUGGGGCUCACACCUUCCUCUCCCCAGCAGGUUAUAUGUGCACUGGAUGAGGCCUCUGCGCCAUCGUUCUGCAGCCCUGGUGCUACUUGGUCCUAUCAUCUCAGUGGAGAAGUAAACCACUUGUUUGCUCUUUUUUUUUUAAACACAUUGAAUCUGAAUCUGUUUUUAAAGGUGCUCUUCAGAGGGGACAGUGAGAACAAGGGCAGUAUGAGAUGGUCUCUGAGUUGCUCCUGCCCUUGCUCUGGAAACUACAGGUUCCCAUCCUCCUGGAUCAGAGCCCAGACCCAGUGCCCAGGAGGCCCAAGCCAGUUGCUCACAAUGAAGUGGUAAGGGGAGGAUGGACUCAGUACUGAGGUUCUGGAUGCAGCAGGGAGUGUAGACUUCUGUUCCACUUGGAUUCUAAGUCCUUAAGAUUUCAUUCUCAGCACAUCUUUUAUUCCAUGGGUUUGGCAAGUGUUGAGAUUUGGUCCCUGAUUGAUUCCCUCAUUGACCCCAGAACACUGUCUAACCCCAGGGCUUGGAUCCACAUAACCUACCUCGGAACAGGCCUGGCACUGGCAGCCAUCUGGGGACAAUCCACAGUGCCUUAGUGCAACCCCCUUGGGCUCUUUUUGCCCCAGCCCCCCUCCCCAAAUUUUUCCACUUCUUGAUACUGCCAAGGGUGUGACAGAGGAGCUGCUUCUGGGUAGCUCAGUUUGAGAGUGUAGAAAGGGCCAGGUGACUGUCCAUCACUCAUGCCAUUCUGUUGCUCUGUCCAGUUCUAGAUUCAGAAGUCUCCCAAUGGCCUAGGACUAAGAGGUGCCCAUGCCUUUUGCUGCUUUGGCAGAGAUGUUGCCCUGAACCCUCAUGAGGAGUCUGGUGCCAGGGCUGAGGAGGACCCCAUGUCCUCACCUGAUGUCCUAGUAGUCUAAGCCUUGAACACAAAAACAGUUGGUGAGUGCAGGUGCCUGUGCACAGACAUUAUGUCCAUGGACCAGAAGGGCUGUAACUGACAGUGGAGCAGUGGGAGGAAGUACCUCCCCAGAGCAGUUUCCACUCGGGUCUAAGAACAAACAGCUCCUUGGAACUGCCCCAGUCCAAAAAAAAAAAGAACAUGUGCUUGUGUGACACACACAUGUAAUAUUAUACAUAUCUCAAACCUGAGUGCAAGGGAAGGUAUGAGAAUCUGGGAGGAAGAGAAUCAAAAGUCUGCCUGUCUAGGUUUAGGCAGCAGCCUCCAUCCAUACCUGCUGAAGCUCAUCUGGCCACCUCCAUGUCCAACCUCCUGGAGCCUGCAGACCUAGAAACUCUUUGGUGGUCAGGGCUGGCUAAGGAUCUCCAGCCUAAGUAGCUGGGACUGGGCCCCAGGAGAUCUAAAGCAUUUACACCAGAGCCUUCAUAUCUACCCAGCACCCAGACUAGGAGCUGGUACCCUGCUCCUCUGGCUCUGCCUCCAGGGCUCUGAGGAAAAGUGAACUUUGGAUCAGGAGCAUGGUGAGGACUGCACACCGGACCUUAGUGUGCAUGCAGACUGGGUAGCCUCAAGUAGCAGCCCUCUUGCUGUCUAAGAAACCAGGGGUGAGACCUCUUACUUGUUCACCACCUGUCCCAUGCCUCUUGAAAGGACACUCAUGGCCUGGGAGGUGGUUCUGGUCUGUCCCUUUGGCACCAGAUGACCACUCUAUAAACAAGCUAAGUGCAGGCCGGCAGGGUUUUAGGGAGCUCUUUAGUGUCUGUCAAGUUGUGGAUUUGUGUACUGACAUUUGCUGGUCCGUGAAACACCCCGAGAGGGCUCAGAAGGUGUUGCCUUGGGCCGGAGAUGUUGCUCAGUGGAAGAGCAUCUGCCUUGCGUACAUGAAGCCCAGGGAUGGAUCCUCAGCACCACACACACACACAAAAAAAGUGUUUUUGUAAAAUGGGAUACACUGGUGUUCCUGUGGGCCAUGGGCAGUUUCAGGUGGUUGUCGCCUGCUUGUGGAGAGAGCUGCUCUGCUCUGAUCCCUGGCCCCAUGGGCAUCCACAGCUAUGGGUCUCAGGGACCCCUGGGGCCUUGCAGUGGUGCACAGAUGCUUAGCCCCAACCAUAGCUCUACCACUGGCUCACAGCCACCCCAUUUCUGGGUUUGGCUCUGUGGUAGGGAUACCCCAGGGUUCAUGGACCCCUUCAGGAGGGCUGCAUAUCCAGCUGGCCUGUGCCCCACUGCUGUUCGCUGUGGGCUUUCUGAGUUUGCCACCUCUGGCUUGAGAUAACAUGGCAAGUCACUGGGGAGCUUGAAGCUGCAGUUUCUCCUUGGCAGGUGGCAGCCCUUGGGCUGUGGUAAUGCUGGCAGAUAGCAGCUUCUGCUUCAGGGUCAUUAACAAAGUUCCUGGGCUGGGGAAGGGAAGGCAUUGUGAAUAAAAAGGCAAAUGCAGGUUGUUGAAGCCAUCACCAAACCACUGUUUUUUGGGGAAGGAUAUGGCUGAAGCAGCCACAGGCGGUCUUCCCCCAGGCCUCUGCACACUUGGGAAGUGACUGCCUGAACAUCAGUUGGGCUGUGGAUGGAACAGCAUGCUCGGAGAGGGAGAGAAGGGGGAGCUCCCUAAGCUGGGGACAUGGUCCUCCAGGAGCCUGGCAAUCUGGCCCUCACUGGGUGUGCCCAAGGGUGACACCUGACCCCAGCAGUGUGUCCUCAAGAAGACCGUAGGCAUGUGAGGUUCACGCAGUGUCCAGGGACCUUCCUCUAGCACUCAGCCCACUCACAACUGAGUGCUCACGGCCACAUAGCCCAAUGGCACUUGUGUAAUAAAUAUGGAACAUGUCAACUUCAUGAGCACCUAUUUCA
rnacentral:lncRNA from 1 species